GCUCUCGUUUAAUCUGGAGGAACAUACACAGGCUGGUUGGAUGCAAGUCUGCGUGUCGGGAUUCAGAGAACAGACUCAGGCAGUUGUUGAUUACAUCAAACGCGUCACUGGGCCUGCGGAGGAGGGAGGAAGAAAGGCUCUGCCUGAGUUCUCACGAAGGGCUCCGGAUUGCCCCUGCACAUUGCAGAACUCCCAGGGUCUCUGUCCUUGGGAAGAGAAACACACAAGACACCUGAGGAUGGGGGUGAAGUGGGAAGGAGAGAGGCCAAGACAGAAUCAGAGAGAGCGAGAGAGUGCCAGCCAUCCCUGGGCAGAGCCCCCGCUGGCCACACACAGUGGGAACGGGCACGUCUCUCAAGCCCCCACACAAGAAUCCACUUUUGAGCCAUGCAAGGCAUAGCCUUUUAUCCUUGUUCACUAGAAAUAAUAGCUCUGCACCAGGCCUGGUGAGGAAUGGGACUGGCAUUCAGUGAGCUGGGUCUGCAUGGGGCGGGGGUACUCUGUGGAAGAGGUGGCAUGGGCCCUGGUCUGCAUUUCCUUUUACAAAGGGUUUUUCCUCCCAUGUGGGUUUGCCUUCAUGCCUGGUUCUGGCUCCCAUCUAUCACAGCCCUAGAAUCUUCCCUCCUCUGCUUCUUGCAGCUUGAACCUCAAUCUCCCUCUCUCCCAGUCAUGCAGACCACAAUCUACAAAGGCACUUAGCUCCAACCUGUGUUCAGCAACAGAUGGCGCCUUCACAGCCUCCCAGCCUUGCAUCCCCCUGCCUUUCUUUCAGACUCCUCUCCUUGCCUCAUUUGCUUCCCAGUCAAUUACCUUAAAAGAACUGCCUGCACUUAUUUGCCCCAUCGUUCGGUUUUAUUCUUGUGUCACCAUCACUUUCACCACCCAACUCUAUGGAGAUGGUUUUCUAAAAAUACCAGAAAAGUGAAGUCGCUCAGUCGUGUCCGACUCUUUGUGACCCCAUGGACUGUAGCCUAUCAGGCUCCUCUGUCCAUGGGAUUUUCCAGGCAAGAGUGCUGGAGUGGGUUGCCAUUUCCUUCUCCAGGGGAUCUUCCCAACCCAGGAAUCAAACCCAGGUCUCCCGCAUUGCACACAGACGCUUUACAGUCUGAGCCGCCUCCUAAAUGUCACAUCCUAGUGACUCACCACUACUGAUCCUAUGUUAGAUGCUGUUGACCAUGAGUUUCUGCUCCCAGCCUCCUCCUCCUUUGAAUCUGGUGACCCAUCUCUCGUGGUCCUUCUACUUCUCUGCCCAUUCCCGUGGGUGUUGUUGAUCUCCGUGGCUUCUUCCUUCCUCUGGUCUCACUGUCUUCUGCUGGAGUAACCUCUGGAAGACUAUGGACUUCAUCCACCAUCUACCUACACAUUGAUGAUGCCAAAAUCUCUCUCCUCAGCUCUACUCA
rnacentral:lncRNA from 1 species